ensembl:rRNA 5S_rRNA 5S ribosomal RNA
ACCCACAGCCAUAUCACCCUGCAGCCCAAGACUGGUUACUCACUGAAGCUAAGCAGGGCUGAGUCUGGCCAGUAUCUGGAUGGGAGACCACACUGGAAAACUAGGUUGCUGUUGUAG